rnacentral:rRNA from 1 species
UACGUAGGGGGCUAGCGUUGUCCGGAAUCAUUGGGCGUAAAGCGCGUGUAGGCGGCCCGGUAAGUCCGCUGUGAAAGUCGAGGGCUCAACCCUCGAAUGCCGGUGGAUACUGUCGGGCUUGAGUACGGGAGAGGCGAGUGGAAUUCCUGGUGUGGCGGUGAAAUGCGCAGAUAUCAGGAGGAACACCGAUUGCGAAGGCAGCUCGCUGGAACGUUACUGACGCUGAGACGCGAAAGCGUGGGGAGCAAACAGG